UUCAAAUCUAGACAAACAAAAAGUACUAAUCCAAAAUAUGACAGUCACAACUUUUAAAAAUAAACUUAUAUUGUUCAAACUAUUGAAUAAUGUCUUCAAAUAAGUUUUGUUACUCUUCUUCGAACAAUGUCUUUGAAAUCACCCACAUAUGAAAUUUGCGAGCUUCAAAUUGUAUAACCUGAAAUAAAAAUGAAAUGUGUCAAUAGAUUGUUUUUUUUUAAUAUAGAAACACUCACGACACAUUUUUUCCCAAAAAAAUAACAAGGUAUGAUAUGCAAAUACUCGCAGCCAAAUGCCCUCUACUAGAAUACAUUUGGCUGUUUUAAGGGAAUGUAAGAACUAAAACUAAAAAUAGCUAUACUAUCUAAUCAUGUAAGUGGUCAUAGGAGAUCAUUUCCGCCCAACUCUAACAUCAGUCCAAUAAAUCCACGAAUCUGGAUGAAUAAGUGCCAGGCAAUACAGCACUUGAUUCCCAUAAUUCUGAAUCAACUAAACCACCUGUGAGAACCUACUUAUUACCAAAUCGGCCUUCUCUCCUGGUCAGCGGUCGCUAAUAUGAUUUUUGCUGUCCAACUGAUUUUCCAGCUCCAAAACUCAUUGCUGGAUCAAUCCCAGAGGUAAAACAGAGAUUUGAUCGUUUCUGGCCUUAGUAUGUUCCACGAUGUGCCUACAGUCAUAUCCUAGCCUUUAUUAAAGACAUAGUUUUCUCCUGCCAACUUUGUAGGUGUUGACUGGUAGAAGUUAUAGCAAGGCCAUUAAAGACCUUGAGUAAAUAUUCAUAAAAGUUGUCCCCCAUGGCCCCAAACGUUAUAGUGGAGUAUAAAACCACCUCUCCCUCUAGAUUAAUGUGUAUUGGAAGCAACCCAUCAUCUAGGAAAGUUCUACUAAUUUCUAAGAUGACAUUCUCCGCCUUUUGUUGAUACUUCGGGUCUCCUGUUCUUUGUGAAAGAGCAAUAAAUUCAAGCUGCUAAGAGGCAGAAUCUGCCAGGAUACUAUGACCCCCAGUCCACCCAUGAUUAUGUGGAUUCCCAUGUGACAAGUUGAUAAUGUUGCAAGGGAUACUUUGGUGGGAAAAAUUCAGCAACACUAUGCCUAAGGUGGAGAUGAUCAUGAGUAAAAAACCAAGUAGCAGCAGAUCAUGAGUAAAAAACCAAGUAGCAGACUGGAACUCAAGGGACAGGAAAAUAAAAGAGUACUGAAGCUCUAUCUCACACCCAAGAGGAAGAAAACACACAACAUGAAGAACAAUAGCAAGUACCAAAAAGAAAACAAGUCAAAAACCAAGUAGCAGCAGAUCAGAGUGCUGAUGGAGGAAAGAUUGCAACUUCAAGUCAACACAAGAAAGGACUUCACAAAAUAAUUCUACCAUGGACAACACUAAAGUUAUGCAACAACAGAGAGGAAUUCUACGAGAUUAAACUAACACAAUUAAAGUCUAUAACAAUGAAUCAAGAACGAAAGAAAAGACAACCAAGACUACGACUGAACAGUGAAGAAACAUAAAUGUACAGCCUACUAGUCUUCUAUGUUCGUGUUGCCAAAACAAGUCUUGAAGGGCAUAACAUAAGUAUGUAGAAAAUUCAUAUGGUCUGGAAAAGUGAAUACAAAUAGAGCUCCAUUAGUGGCAUGGGACUUGGUGUGUCGGACCAAAAAAGGAGGACUGGGAAUCACUGAAUGUGUGAUAUGGAACAAGGCUGCGGUAGAAAAAUACGUGUGGAACAUUGCUCAAAAAGCUGAUAAUCUAUGGGUGCGAUGGGUGGAUCAUGUCUACAUAAAGGGCACAGACUGGUGGCAAUAUGCUAUUCCACAUGAUAGUUGUUGGUAUUGGAAAAAGAUCUGUCGUAUAAGAGAUAAAUUUGCACCAGGAUACAACCAAAAUGGAUCACUUAAACCUGAGGGCAAAUACAUGAUAGCAAGCAGGUAUACAUGGAGAAGAGGCGAGCUAGAAGAGUGGACGUGGAACAGGUGGAUUUGGUGUAAGGAAAUUCUUCCUAACCACAUCUUUAUUUGUUGGUUAGCCCUUCAUGAAAGAUUACUUGCCAAAGAGAGGCUCUAUAGAAUGGGGAUCUGCCACGAUGAUAAAUGCCAACUAUGUGGAGAUGUACCAGAAAUAGUGGAGCACAUUUAUUUUGACUGUCCGUUCUCAAUAAGAUGCAGCAUAAGAAGAAAAAUCUCAAUUCUUUGAAGGUGGUCGAAUGAAGCAAUUGUAAACCGUGGGUCUCUGCAGGUUGUACCAACAGAAGAAUAAAUGGAAAUGUUCCUACAUUACCAGCUUUAUUCUCUUUGUUGUGCUUAUAUAUAGUGAAGACAGUUUUGUGUAUAGUAAUACCUGUACAGUAAAAGCAUUCAAAAUCGAAACAAAAAAACAUAAAUGUACAGCUAGUGCAUUCAAAAUCGAAACCAAACGAACAUCAAAUAAACUCGAGCAAAACAAGACAGAGAUUCAGCUAGCUUUUAGAACAAGAUUAGGUCACAUCGAAGCCAAGAAACUGAUUCAGAAUAGCAUUUCAACAUUUCGGGUACAACAGGUCACAUCCAAAAUAAUUGAGUUCACAUGUUCUCCUGAUUAUGGAAUCUACAGACAUUCAUUGUUGAAGGGUAUAAUCGAUCAGUUAUAUCUUUUCCUGUACAAAUUUGGGAACUAAUGCAAUUAAGGCAUCUUAAGCUGGCCGAUUUAUUUUGCUAAAUCCCCUAAGUGUAUCUGUUGAUGGUGCCUUUUCAAAUAUAAAAACUAUUUCUUACUUGUCUCCAAGUUGUUGCACGAAGGAGGUUAUUUCGGGGAUUCAGAAUGUUAAGAAGUUAGGAAUCAAAGGAUGUUAUCGAAAUUAUGGAUUUCUUGGCAAUCUGUAUCAACUUGAAACAUUGAGUUUAAAAGGAGCUUGUCCAAGUACAAAAGCUUUACCAGGAAUGCUCAUGAAGUUGAAGUUGAAGUUGAAAGAAACUUAUAGAAGUUGGUCCUACUUGGACAUCAUAGCUGAGUUGCCUAACCUUGAGGUGCUUAAGCUCAUGUAUACAUCUUGUUGUGGCAAAGAAUGGUAUCCAAUUGAUACGGGAUUUACUCUAUUAAAGUGUUUGCUAAUUCAAGGUAAUGAUCUCAAGUACUAGAAAGCUACAAAUGAUAAUUUUCCUGUCCUUGAACGACUCGUGAUUAGAGGUUGCUCUCAUUUGAAAGAGAUACCCUAAGUUGCUGUCCUUGACCAUACUACAGAUUAGUUAAUAAAACAUAAGUUGCUCGACUCUAAAUUAUGAGACAUUAUGUGGAAAACUUACAAGUUAUUCCGAGGGGAGAAUAUUGAUCAAGAAGAGAAUCUCAAAAGGAGAUGAAAGGAAAAUCAGCUAACUUAGAAGUUUCUAUAUACAAGCUUGAGUUUUAGUCGAUGUAACUAAUUUCUAAAAACAGAGGUGCUACAGGUGAUGUUUUAAUGUUCUUCAAGUUUAAAAGUCACUUAAGGAUUGUGAGGAAGCUAGAAAUUUUCUGAAGUCUAUCAAUCAAUAAAAAACUAUUACCAUCUCGAUAAAAAGAAUUGCAACUGAUAUAGUGUCCUUAUUAAUUUGCAAAUGUCCAACAAUCUGUCAAAGAGAAUGAACUCGCAAUCUUUCCAAUAACAUGUCAAAAUAAAUGGCAAAUUCACUAUCCGAACAGAUUUUCAAAACAAAGAGACAUGGAUCAGUAGUAAUAGAACUAGUCGUCAUUAGAAACUCUUGUUCGAGCUUUAGUCGAUGUAACUGGAGAACAACAAAUUCAUCGAGUUUUAGUUGUUGCCCAGUUAUAUAUGAAAAUAAAAAGCUUGAUAACAAUUUUACCCAUGAGACACAUUAGUUAUUGCAUUCGAGAUUACAAACUCUUAAAUGUCAAACAUGAUGGCCAGAUAAAAAACAAAACAUGAUCAAAGCAUCUACAAAUUCGAUAUUUGUAACGUGUUUAUAGUUGAGAGACAUUGAAGAAAACUUUAAUUGAUAAAUAGAGAGAUGCAAUAGUUCAAGAGAAGUAAACAUUGGCUUCGGCAUUACAAUGGAAGAACUAACUGAACAGUUCACAUCUACCUAAAAUAAGCUUCUUAUGGCUGAUGUUUCAAGAAUUUAUAAUCGCUAACAUGAAUCUAAAAACAGAAAGCUCAUGGAGUCAAAACAGGGUGUCUAUAUAAUCGCUAAACUUGAUAAUUUCAAAGAAGAGAUCUUAACUCGUAGUCAAAACGGCCAGAGUUCACGAACACAAAAAAACAUACUUUUACAAAUCAAAUAGCUUGGAAAUCACAAUUAACGCCUGAAAAUUGAUCAAUUCGUCACGCUUGUUUUCUGUUUCCUUCCCAGUUAAUGCUUAAUAUUGAUUAUUGAACAUUAUAUAAAAUAUAAUACAAGGAUGAAUUCUCAAUGACCAUAUGCAGAGCAACAAAGUUAUAAAACAUCGGAGUUGAGAAGAGAGAUCUACAUACCUUGAAACUUCUGAAAAGAUUGUUAUUGCUGGACUUCGCUAUCGUGAGAAAAAUAUAUGCUAUUGGAUGUCGUUGUUGUGAGAGAUAUAUAUGCCUUAUGUGUGUCCUAAUAUGAUGAAUUAGGUUGGGGAAUCCUUAUUUGUUGGGAGAUCUUUUUAGUAAUAUUUUCCUUAUUUGUGUAGGAGAGCUUUUUAGGUUAGCAAUG
rnacentral:lncRNA from 1 species